rnacentral:tRNA from 2 species
GCCCGAGUAGCUCAGUCGGUAGAGCAAUUCAUUCGUAAUGAAUAGGUCAGGAGUUCGAUUCUCCUCUCGGGCU